rnacentral:rRNA from 1 species
UACGUAGGAGGCGAGCGUUGUCCGGAUUCAUUGGGCGUAAAGAGCGCGCAGGCGGCUUGGUAAGUCGGAUGUGAAAUCCCGAGGCUCAACCUCGGGCCUGCAUCCGAUACUGCCCGGCUAGAGGUAGGUAGGGGAGAUCGGAAUUCCUGGUGUAGCGGUGAAAUGCGCAGAUAUCAGGAGGAACACCGGUGGCGAAGGCGGAUCUCUGGGCCUUACCUGACGCUCAGGCGCGAAAGCUAGGGGAGCGAACUGG